rnacentral:rRNA from 1 species
GCGUGUUCACAUGAUUAAAGGUAUUCCGGUAGACGAUGGGGAUGCGUUCCAUUAGAUAGUAGGCGGGGUAACGGCCCACCUAGUCUUCGAUGGAUAGGGGUUCUGAGAGGAAGGUCCCCCACAUUGGAACUGAGACACGGUCCAAACUCCUACGGGAGGCAGCAGUGAGGAAUAUUGGUCAAUGGGCGAGAGCCUGAACCAGCCAAGUAGCGUGAAGGAUGACUGCCCUAUGGGUUGUAAACUUCUUUUAUAAAGGAAUAAAGUCGGGUAUGCAUACCUGUUUGCAUGUACUUUAUGAAUAAGGAUCGGCUAACUCCGUGCCAGCAGCCGCGGUAAUACGGAGGAUCCGAGCGUUAUCCGGAUUUAUUGGGUUUAAAGGGAGCGUAGAUGGAUGUUUAAGUCAGUUGUGAAAGUUUGCGGCUCAACCGUAAAAUUGCAGUUGAUACUGGAUAUCUUGAGUGCAGUUGAGGCAGGCGGAAUUCGUGGUGUAGCGGUGAAAUGCUUAGAUAUCACGAAGAACUCCGAUUGCGAAGGCAGCCUGCUAAGCUGCAACUGACAUUGAGGCUCGAAAGUGUGGGUACCAAACAGGAUUAGAUACCCUGGUAGUCCACACGGUAAACGAUGAAUACUCGCUGUUUGCGAUAUACAGCAAGCGGCC